rnacentral:rRNA from 1 species
AAUCAACGCUGGCGGCGUGCCUCAGACAUGCAAGUCGAACGCGAAAGGUUCCUUCGGGAACCGAGUAGAGUGGCGCACGGGUGAGUAACACGUAGGUAAUUUGCCUUUGGGUGGGGAAUAACAGCCGGAAACGGCUGCUAAUACCGCAUAAUGCAGCGGCUCGACAUCGAGACAGUUGUUAAAGCGGGGGAUCGCAAGACCUCGCGCCUAAAGAGAAGCCUGCGGCAGAUUAGCUAGUUGGUAGGGUAAUGGCCUACCAAGGCGACGAUCUGUAACCGGCCUGAGAGGGCGGUCGGUCACACUGACACUGACAUACGGUCAGACUCCUACGGGAGGCAGCAGUCGGGAAUUUUGGGUCAAUGGGCGAAAGCCUGACCCAGCAACGCCGCGUGAAGGAUGAAAUCCC